rnacentral:rRNA from 1 species
UACGAGGGGUGCAAGCGUUGCUCGGAAUUAUUGGGCGUAAAGGGUAGGUAGGUGGUCUCAUUUGUCUGGGGUGAAAGCCUUGAGCUUAACUCAAGAAGUGCCCCGGAAACGGUGAGACUGGAGUCCUGGAGAGGGUCGUGGAAUUCCCGGUGUAGCGGUGAAAUGCGUAGAGAUCGGGAGGAACACCAGAGGCGAAGGCGGCGACCUGGACAGGCACUGACACUCAACUACGAAAGCGUAGGGAGCAAACAGG